CCUGAAGGUGGUAGGGCUCCGCCAUGUUGCUCCCACUGUCUUCAUAUUCAUCUUCCCAUAAAUGCCCUGCUUGCUGAUUAGGAUGAGGACCAACCACAGCCCCAUUUCUUGAAUUUUGAUCCUGUUCGAUCAUUUGCAGCAAAUCCUCAACCCGGGAUUCAGCAAGGUCCCGUUGCUUUGUCAACUCUCGGAUCUGUUUAUCCAUCUUUUGUAUUUGUAUAUCUCUCUUUCUAAGCAAUGCUGCAUAAUCACUGGUUGAUGAAGCAGGGGCAGGACUUUUCAACUCACUCUCCAAUCUAGCCAACUCU
rnacentral:misc_RNA from 1 species